rnacentral:miRNA from 1 species
CUGAGAAGACUUGUAGGGUA